UCCCAGUUGUGUAACUUCCGUAUAUAAAGCAUGCUGAGGGGGCGUUAGGCCAUUCCAGAUUCCUUUGUGUCUGCCUCUGCUUCAGCUCUUGCCCGGCUUAGAGGAGGAAGAGGCAAAAGGAAAGACGCCUCCCUCAUUCUGGCUUAAGGCACUGUGGCUCACCUCACUGCUGUGGUUGGUGGUGGCUGCCACGGAGACUGAAGAGCGGCCGGAGUAGCAGGAGGGUGACCCACAGUGCAGGAGCUGCUCAGUGCCCGGCUUAGAGGAGGAAGAGAAGGGGAAGACACCUGCCCCACGCUGGAGGCUGGAGCUCUCAGCACCUCGGCUGGCCUCGGUGCCGUUGGUGGCUACAAUGAAGACUGCAGCCGGGCCUGAGCCGUAAGAGGGAGAAAAUAGUUUUUGGGGCACCAAAAUCACCACGUACACGUGCAAAUAGAAACAUGGAGGACUAUGGAAAGCUUUAGAGAUGUUCCAUGGGAAUGAAACCAAUGAACCAGAAGAGAAGGUGUCCUACAGAUUUGGAGACAGAUCUGAAAAACUUUAUCUAUGAAAGUGGUGGUUAUCUAACGUGUCCAAGAAACUAACACCACUGUGUUUGGGGAAAAAAAAGCAGACAACCACCACCACCACCACUAAUGCUGAAGCUAAAACUGGGCAAAGGCCCUUAAUAGACAUUUCUGAAAAGAUGACUUGAAUUGACUAAUGAGUCAAAAAGAAGUUGCUCAACUUCAUCAUUUCUCCCACAAAGGGCAGAGUAUACACCUUAAAUCAACGAUUGGUAUGUAACACCGCUGUGUCUUCACUUGGUGAAAGGGAUGGAAAACAGAGAUGGUGCCACCUUCUUCACGACUCUCUGUGACUCACUUGAAAUUUAUGCUCUGGUCCCUGCAGUUUCAAGCUCUGCAUGUUAAGAAGUCCUGGCUUCCAGAAGGAAAUUACUUCCAUCAGUGGGCUUAAGAAUCUCACUGAACUUUCAGCUACAGCUGCUGCUUGAUCACUUUUAGCGCUGGUGCCAAGAAACCAUCCAGAAGAGAAAAAAGUCACAACCUGCAGGGAAAAUUGACUCUGAUUAUCCGUGGGAGGUUGGCCUGCUGCCACACGAUAUAGCAUAGGGAAGAAUCUCUUUGGUGCUCAUGAACCCAGUGCUUUUCUCAAAUGAAACAAACUUCAUGUAAAGAGUAAGUUGAUCUGUUGCAGUGGAAGGGAUUAACUUCAGUGAAUGCUGUGGUGCUUUGCCAGCAUCCUUCCUUAGAAAUGAUUUACCCAUAACCUGGCUGUUGGUGGCUCCCAGCUGCACCCCAUUCUGUCAUCAUCGUUCACCAUGUUGGUGAAGAAAGAAUGCCCCACCCUAAAUAGCACAAGGUAGCUGAACACUUGACACCUUGUGCUGGACAGAUGUGAUCAACAGCAGUUUAUGAGUUACAUAUACUCACGGCCUGGGGAAGAGGACACCACACACCAGGCAGGGCCACAUGAGGGGUGCACUCAGGAACAGAGUGAAGCAGAGGGGCAUGGAGGAAGGCUUUGUAGGAACAAGGGGGUGUGGUGACCUCUGAUGCCUGUGAGAGGCUGUGAUUGGCUUGUUUGUUUAAUGGACUGGCAGUGGAUAGAGACAUGUGAGGUUGAGGAUUGAUGGGGGACACUGGUUCCGCCAGCAGGAGAACAAGCCAGGCAGGGAGCAGGGGAAUUCGGCGCGGCUCCUUUGGGACCUGGAAGCCUCAAAGAUGUUGAUGCACACUGGACAAUUUUUCUUCCUCACAUUCGAGUCUAUGUAUGUGGGUGUUUUCAGUAUUCACAUCCACUCUAAUUAAAGGAAGCUUUGCCAUUCCAAUAAAUGCACUCCACAGGUCAGUUCCGGGGAGGAGAUCCCUAAAAUGCAAUGAGCAUUGUAUUGUCUCUUCAGGGAACUGUAGUAAGAAAGCCACAAAACCGGCUAGGCACGGUGGCUCACGCCUGUAAUCCCAGCACUUUGUGAGGCCGAGGUGGGUGGAUGAUGAGGUCAGGAGUUCGAGACCAGCCUGGUCAAUAUGGUGAAACCCCAUCUCUACUAAAAAUACAAAAAAAAAAAAAAAAAAAACUGGCUAGGUGUGGUGGCAGGCACCUAUAAUCCCAGCUACACAGGAGGCUGAGGCAGGAGAAUUGCUUGAACCUGAGAGGCAGAGGUUGCAGUGAGCCAAGAUCUUGCCACUUGUACUCCAGCCUGGGUGACAAAGCAAGACUCCAUCUCAAAAAACAAAAAACAAAAAAAAAACCUCUCAAAACCAAAAGGAAUCUUUCUACCAUGUCAGUUUAUAACCAGGAAGGAAAUUUGGGAUCAUGACCAUUUAGAAGAAAGAUGAAGAUACAUGCAGUAGAAAUAGUAAAAUAAUUCAUUAAAACCACCUUUACACAUUUAUUUAUCAAGUUCAAAGUUACAUUAUAGAUCGGGGUUGGCGAGUGUUUUUUUUUUUAAAUAAAGAACUAGAUAGUAUUUUAGGCUUUGGCUGGGCGCAGUGGCUCAUGCCUGUAAUCCCAGCACUUUGGGAGGCCAAAGCAGGCAGAUGACGAGGUCAAGAGAUCGAGACCAUCCUGGCCAACAUGGUGAAACCCCGUCUCUACUAAAAAUACAAAAAAUUAGCCAGGUGUGGUGGCGCACACCUGUAGUCCCAAUUACUCAGGAGGCUGAGGCAGGAGAAUUGCUUGAACCCGGGAGGCGGAGGUUGCAGUGAGCCGAGGUCAUGUCACUGCACUCCAGCCUGGGCGAUAGAGCAAGACUCUGUCUCAAAAACAAACAAACAAAAAAAAAAUUUAGGAUUUGUGGGCCAUAUGGUCUCUGAUUACUCAGUUUUGCUGCUGCUGUUGUGCAAAAGCCACAGACAAUAGUAAACAAAUGGGCAUGGUUGUGCCUUAACAAGACUAUCUACGAGAGCUGAUGGCAGGCUGCACUGGGCCCACUGGUAUAGUUUGUCAACCACUGUUACAAAGCAUCUGUCCUCAAAAACAUAUUUCUUAAGUCUGUAUAUUGCCUUAUUUUUUAACCUUCCCUUGAAAUGAUCAGCUUGUGAGGUAUCCAGGCAAUAUUCUCUCAUUUUACAGACAAGAAGCCUGAGGUACAGUAACUUUCCUGGGAAACACUGUGAUGAGUAGCAAGCCAAGUCUAGAAAUCAGAUUUCCUAACUCCUCUCCCACACCCUGUCGCUCAACCCAGCGGAUUCACUAGACUCCGGUCACCAACACCAAGUUUCUAUCAGAUGAGUCAGUUUUAAAUUACAGGGAAAAAGCAGAAAAGAAAAUUAGACAACUACUUUGUAGCAAGCUGGAUUUUAUUCGUUGUUAGAUUUACCUUUUCUAUGUAUUUGCUUGUGUCUGUGAAUUCUGUUUCAGUGGAAAGGACCUACAUUAAGCUUUGACCUGGUGUCUUGGUGAUUGACCUAAUCAGAUUUGGAUUUGACUGGGAGAUUAGAUCCUCCAGUAAAUAUGAUGAACAAAAAGGGUAACUUUUUCUCUUCCUGAAAUUUUUAAAAACGAUUUCCUCACUCAAUUCUUUCUUCUUCUGUUCUCACGUUUCAUUCACCAUGUGAAGGGCUGUGGCCCCAGUGUUCCGAGGAGCCCUUGUCUGAAGCAGCUGCUGCUCCUGCACAGGCAGAUCUCUCUACAGGAGCCCCCGUUUCUAGAGGGCAGCCUUGUCAUUGCUGUGAAGGAAAAUGUUUAAUGCUCAAACCAGGGGCUACUUAGGCUUUCCUAGACUUGGCCUUUCUGAGAUUUUGUAAUUAAAUUGAACAGGUAGUUAUUCUGGGAUUAAACUAGGAAAUCGCAGCUUCUUACCUGUAUCUGACUUCAUUGGGUCCUGCUGUUAUUAAUCCACAUUAAUAUGGUCUUCUUGCUAAAGCAUAGUUUCCCUGGAUGCUGAACGUGGAGCCUUACAGUUUUGGGAAUGGCUUGGCAGAAUUCUUCUUUGGAAAUUGGUGAAGAUGGGCAAAGUGUAGAUCCAGGAAGGUGGAGAGUCCCAGGAAAAAAAAAAAAAAAGUGCCCUCACAGAAACCUUAGUUUCUGUGCACUUAGUGUGUCAUCAUAUACAAUGAGCAGCACACACAGGCCCCUGCUUUUCCUUCAUGAAGGACAGGUGGGGAGGAUCUCUGGAGGCGGUGAUCGCUCAUCCACCGGCCAGCAGCCUCUCCCCUGCUGUCUCUGCUCCCUUAUCAUCCACACUCACCUUUGUGGUGCCGGACACGCUGGCUUUGUUCUUCGACCUCGUUUCAUUCUGAAUUUUUAAAGCUUGAUGUAACUGGUUUUACCCCUUCAAUUUGAAAAGUUUAUUUUAUAAAUUGAAAUAAUUGUUGCCACAUUUUUCUUAGAUGUUUAAAAUGGUAACUGCUUUAUUUGUAGACAAUGCAUAGAGAUAAAUGCUGGGGAUAAGAUGUUUGUUUUUAACCUUACCAUGUUCAUCUGAUCUCUGGGUUCUAGGGGAUGUGGAAAAGAAAACUGGUAUAAAUUUAAUGACACAGUUACAGAAGACUUAGACCUAAAUGAUGAGCCCAUGGAGUGCGAAUGCUUUGGUGAAGCACAUUUUUAAUUUAGUUUUCUAUAAAAUUGGAAGUAGGAUUCUGUACAUUAAAAAUAGAAUAGACUAUUUUUUCUAGUACUGCUGCUCUAGCUAUAGAACCACGAGUAGGUGGGGGAGGGGAGGCAUGCUGUCGGGAUGAAAUGAAUAUCAAAGAGACACUAAUAAAAAAAAAUCUAACCUUAAAAGUUCCACAGGAAGUAGUUGUCCACUAAAAUUUUCAAAUUUCCUUUUCACUUACAUAGGAGCAUAAUUAAUUAAAGAACGUAUUUUUAGCACCUGUACUUUUACCAUAUUCAUUAGUCAGCAUGGCAAAGCAGUCUCUACCUCCAAACCUACUCCCGGGACAAAAAAUGUAUGAGGGAAAGUACAUCAAGAAACCCAAUCACAAUUAGCUAUUUGAAAACCACUUUGCAGAGAUCCUAGCAUUUCUGAAACCUAAUUUUGAGAUAUUCUAGGGGCAUUUCCAAAUUUCCGCCUGUACUAGAUUCACUCUAUUCGAGUUCUAGAUCACGCCACUAUAGUCAUGCAUUCGAAGGUAGUAAAUUUUAAGGGUUAAAUAGAGUAUCAUUGCCAGAAUUUACCUAGAUUUGGCCAGUCUGCAGAAAUGGCCAAAUGAAGCCAGGGAUGAUCCCACUCUGUGCCUCAGAACAUACUUUUAAAUGUUACUUGCCAUUUGCUUUUAAAUUUGCCUUCCGUAGGAUAUUUACCCUCUUUCCCUUACUCUAUCACCGAACAGCUCUCUUGUCUCCUGCCCUUCCUCCCCAAUAUCACCCUCCAAAUGAGGGAUCGAUUUUGGUGCCAGAACUGAGGUCCCCUGACUUCCACUCUAAGCAAUACCCUAAAUAGAUCCUCGUUUUACUUAACGCUUUGCAUUCAACACAUUUAGUGAGUAGUUACUUGCUGGAUUCGUGGGCCCUUUGUUUUAGAUUGUCAAGACAAGAAAACUUUUUUAUUUCAACUUCUUAAUGCUGUGCUGUAAAGCAAACACGCACUUGUGUACACCAAAGAUACCGAAUGGCCGCGUGCUCUUCCACCAUUGGGGGUGUGAUGAGAACCCCCUGGGAUCACCAAAGAAGAUUCGAGUCAGCGCUGUCCAGCAGGAAGCUGAGGGCCAUUCUGUUCCAUUGUGAACCCAAAAUGUCUGAGGCGGGUCUCAAUAAAUUUGGAAGUUUUACUUUGCCAAGGUUAUGGAUGUGACACACCCUCAGGAAGUUUUGAGGACAUGUGCCUAAGGUGGUUGGGUACAGCUUGCUUUUACACAUUUUAGGGAGAUGUGAGCCAUCAGUCAAUAUGUGUAAGCUGUCCAUUGAUUUUGUCCAGAAAGGCGGGACAACUCGAAGCAUGGGAGGGGGCUUCCAGGUCAUAAGUAGAUAAGAUCAAAUGGUUGCAUUCUUUCGAGUCUCUGAUUAGCCGCCUUCUGAAUACACAAUUUAUAUGUGAGAGGAGGAGAAAGGAAUCUUCACUUAUGCCUUAGUCUGGUUUAGUGAAGCGAUAGAGCAGAAGCAGCAAUGAGAUGUGCAUUUGUCUCAGGUGAGCAGAGAGAUGACAUUGUGUUCUGUCCAUCCUUUGCCCACAAGGAAAUUCGUUGUGGGCAAAUGGUGAGGGGGAAGGUAUGUAGCCUCUUUGUCUUUGUUGCUAUCUUAUUUAGGAAUAAACUGGCAGCGGGUUUGCCUGAUGCAGUUCCCAGCUUGACUUGCCUUUGGGUUAGUGAUUUGGGAGUCCCAAGAUUUAUUUCUUUUCACACCAUAUAACUUGUUGUGUGAUUUAGUAGGUGGUAGUGUGAUCUUUGAGAAUAUAGUAUUUGGGAUUUGAAAAUAAUUAGCUAAGCUAGGGAGAAAUUCUUAAAAUAAUCCUAAAAAGAAAAAAAAAAUCCCAGCCAGGCACGGUGGCUCAUGCCUGUAACCCCAGCACUUCGGGAGGCCGAGGCGGGCGGAUCACAAGGUCAG